CUGCCCGAGGCCAAAUUCGACUAUUUAAGCCAUCCGACGUCUCCCAACCCUAGCUCAUCCACCUCCUCUCUCACUGCGCUGCCACCCGAGCCCAUCCGCCUCCUCUCCCCUGCUCUCCCAUGCUCUUCGGCUUGGCCAUGGUCCGGCGGCUGAUCACCGCGAUACGCUAUGCUCAUGUCCGAGCACCGGAGGCAGAUCACCGAGGAGGCGGUGCUCCGGCGCCCGAUAGGUGUUCGGCGAAAUGCCGAUGGCAAAAAAGCCCGUCCGAGGAGUUCGUGGCCGCGCCUGUGGCGGUACCAGCGGCUGCACCGGAGCACGCCGUAAUAACUUCCGCCGUCGCCUUCUCCUGCUGCGAGUGCGUGUGCACGUGCGCGCGUGCGGGUCUCCUGCCGGGCGCGCCGACGUGCUGCCCACUGAGACCGGCCGUGGACAAGGAGGGGAGACGGCAACGGCAAGGUACGUGGUUUCUGCGCAGCAGCGGCGAUGCGCUUUGCUCUGCCAGUACCGGUAGCGACAGGCUCCAUGCCUCCAUCUGAUCUGAGCACCUAGCGUCGUUUUCUUUCGCCAUCCGAGUUGUUCGGCAGAGCACGAGAUCUGCCUAGGAAAUCAACGGCCAGAGCUCAUCCCGGCAGUAUAAUAAUUAAUAACUGUGAAAAUUGUUCAUAACACAUCAAGUCAUCAAAUGAUGUAGAGUACUAUUUAAUUCUUCUCUGAUUAUUGUAUCCUUGCGUGCCGCUUGUAAGAUUCGUUAGGUUCAGUCUUGUCGGUUUAGCGUACCAGGUCAAAUUUGCUGAGCAGGCAUGCAGCCGGCCGCCGGCAUGGUUAAGUGAACUAAAUUUACUCAGUUCGAAUGUUAUUACUUCCACAUCAUUUGGGGUGGUUCCAAAUUUGACAACUACUAGUUUAAUACAUAUUCUGAAAUUCUUGAGCUUUCAGAUUCAGUCACCUUCC